GUUCGAGGACCAUUGGAAUCUCGUUUGAAAAUAGUACGGUUCCUGCGGCUCGGCAUAACGGUCGAACCGGGCGCUCUUAUUGGAUCACGAUCUGUCAGAUCGGGCCAAUCGUUCUUGGCUCCCGUGGACACAGCUGACAGAUUUUUUCCUACGGUUCGAGACGACGGACGGAUCUUCUACGCGCCGAGGUUAGUCGGGCAGGGAGGAAAGCAUAUUCGACGGAGUAUCGACGUACUUACAGCUAAAGGGUUUCGUUAACCUUGGGGGCGUCGCGGAAAUAGGGCAGUGUGGACCGGACUCCGGCUCUAUCCUCUUCUGGCUGGUGCACUGUGCGUUUCGCGCCACACCUUUCAGGUGAACCGCGGGAAGCCGGGAUGAUACCUAGGUCACACUAGAUACACCCGUAAACACCUCGAGGAAAUUUCGACGGCCGGCAACGCCGAUAAAGACGUUUAUCUACGAUGACAGUCGAUUCUACGUGGAAAUCAUUUUCCCGGUACAAUGUCACUCUGCCUCGACGAAGAAAGGGACACGAAUCUUCCUCGCACUUUCCCCACUGUCUCACGUCGUCCGAGCGUCGAGAUGAAGUGACAGCUCGAGAGGCAUGGCAUACGGGGUCACCCGAAUGACACCCGCUCUCGACGACAGGUGACGAGAUUUUUGUGACGAUUCAAUGAGAAGAGGAAGAGACAACGUUAGUGGGAACGUCUUAAGAGCGGUUCUAAGGUAGAAAGAUGUAUAUCGAAUUGGCCAGGGCAGGCACAACAAGAAAACCGUACGAUGUUACGUGAGCAACGCGCGGCCACUGACUGACGGGCUGGAGGUCGCUCCGAUUGGCGGGCCCGUUAGCACGCGCGACUUCUCGAACCCGGGAAAUCGAGCUGGACCAAUCGGAGCGCCCCCUGCUGCCCCCCGCGACCCGGUAGUUCUGAGUCAGGGCUGUAACGUCGGGGCGUGCGCCCUCUCCGGCGCACGUUCAGAUAAAUAUUCACACAAUUGAUCUGACAUUUCAUAUAAAUUAAAUACGAGAUAAAAUAGAAAUAAAAUGUAGACGCACACUAAAUUUACAUUUUCUUGUUCUACCAGGAACCGUUGUAACUGUAAGGAAAGAAUAAUGUUAGAAGAAACCGGUUAACCUAACGCGGUUGCUGAUGUUUUCCAAUAAAAAGAGUGUACAAAUUGGGCAUGAGUGUCAUAUUGGAGCAGCGCGAUUAGCAAUGCAAAUCGUCGAAGCCGUCACUGGAUGGACGGCCGCCCGUUAGCCGACUCCCCCGCCUCCCUGUCCUAUUGAUCGAAACCCCCGAACAAGCAAGAAGACGCGAGACCAGAUGCGCCACAACACCAAAGAGAGAUUCGGAGAGAGUACAGCUCUCUCUCUCUCUCUCUCUCCGCGACGUAGGAUCCCCGCACGCCUGAUGUUGGACAGCGGAAAAGUAUGCGACGGAAGCAAGAGGACACGGAUUUUCGGAGUGAAAGGAAGCAUUGUUGCUUCAAGGAUGGUUGCUCGGGUCUCGAGUGACCCGGCACUCUCCGACGUCGAGGAUCAAGCAGGAAAGCCGCACUCCAUUCGCCGCCGAAGUGGACGAGCAAGACGAGGCUUGUUUAUUCUCGCUCGACGCCGCUUUCAAACGCCCUUUCCGAGUAUCGUCUUUUUAUAGAGGAGAGAAAGAAGCCUGAUGCUGUACGUCGCUGUACAAAUAUGCAAAGCACAUCUGAAUCCUGGCCGCAGGAAAAAGUUGAAGGCCUUCUUCGUUCAAAGGAGAAGAAGGAAAAAAGUAACACAGUUAUAUGGUACAGAGUGCAAGGCUUAAUUUGAUGAGACCUGGAUGAUGAAACCGGCGGUAUCAGACGCCGAUGCGGCAAGGUGAAAUGCAUUCGGGCAAAUUGAACAGGUAGAAUGUGCGAGGUUGCGUUGAAAUUUGUAUCGAGGUAACCUGCUCUGGUAGAGGUGCGCGUAUGCGUCGCUGAUGAAGAAAACUGACCUUUGACAUUAGCGAAGAGCAACCUGCCGGAUAGAGUCUCUCUUUCUCUCUCUCCUUCUGAAUAUUCCCCGGCGGUUGGAUCCACAAUGUUACGUACAGGGCCAGCGAAAUUCGGCCGAGUUACUGGCGGCGAGAGAGAAGAAUGAAAUUCUCCUAUCAAAAGGACAGAGAUCGCGGAAGGUUGGCGACGGCGUUCCCUGUGAUUCGGCACAAAAGCGGCGACGGGGGUCGUUCGAUGGAUGGCAAAUAUCGUUCUCCCUUUUGCGAGUCGGGGCGCGAUACAAGGGACAUUUUUAUGAAUAGACAAGCGCGGUUUGAUUCUCACAAAAGACUCGAACGCGGGACCAACUAAAUAUUGGUCCCGAGUGAAAAGCCUCGGGAUCGUUUCAAUGAUCUCGCACUUUCGGAUCACCACGAAAUAAAAAUCGUCCUUCCAGAACAGACCUAGAACGACUGAUCCAUACAGAGAUUUUAUACGAUUUUGUCCUCGUCGAAAAUUAAUUAACUAUCAGCCUAUAACGUCGUUUAAGAAUUUCUACACGAUCUCUAGGCAAUAUUUAACAAAAUGAUUGCAAGAGAAUGUGACUCGACUUAGCAAUUUGAACUUUUGCUCGCGUAUUUACACAUGCAAUUUACAACUUUGAAGCAACGGCGACAAAAUUGUCUAAGUCAGUUUAUCGAAAAUUAUAAAUGUUAUUAACAAACGAAACGAACAGAAACAUCCAAGCCUGUUCUUGUUCAGAGAUCCAAGACGCAGACGCUAAAUGCCCGAAGAGAUCGUUGGAAUAUCAAUCAUCUUCUCUCUUCAAUUAAUCCUGUACAUAAUCGAGCAAAGAACGUCGACUGGAAAUGUAAAUUGUCGACACGAAGGGUACGCAAGGUCGGCAAAUCCAUUCAGAGGUUUCGAUCCCGGUAUCAAGGCGUGCCCGUGGUCCGCGAUCUUAUUGGCCGGGGCGGGAUCAUUCAAUUAACUCCGACCGCUAAUUAGACGGCACGCCGCUAUGGAAUCGCGAUGGCCGGCGGUUUUCGCGGCUGAUUCCGCGGUUCCGAGAGGAUUGGGCCCUUUGUGAGCAGCGAGCUCCGUGUUGCUCCGGUUCGUCACGGCUGGCACAAACGUCGCCGUGACGUCAAACCACAUUAGAAUUUAUGCACGUGACGCAAAGGAGAGAAUUCUCUUGGAGAUGGGAAGAGGAGAGGGAGAGAGAGAGAGACUCGUUCAACGUUGACCUUCCAGCUUCGAGGAUCCGCCUGUUAAACCCACGGAAAAGGAACUUGGCAUCGCGAUUGCCCGCCGUGAGAUACAAACAUCUGCAACUAUUCUUGAGACGUCGUUAAGACGAACAAGUGGCAAGUUGGAGGACUUAACGAGCCUGCUGUGUUAUUACACCUUUCAGCUGAUCCAGAGGGCUAAUGAAGAUUUUUAAUAUUCUACGAUGCUGUUCGAGAAUUUUUCCCUCGCGUGAGAAGCUUAUUUAAGUCGCACUUGGGUCAGCAGGUGCCACGUAAAGGUCUUGGGCUACACACCGGCGGUUGCAUCAUCCUCCAAUUGCAGCUGCUUUCAAUAAGACAUUUUAGAACGAACUGGCACCAGGAAACUUCCGAUUCAUUACGAUCGUCGCAUUCGAACUGUCGUAAUUUUGUAAAGAAGCAAUCGUACGACGAUGAAAGCGGUCUCGCUUUGAAGCCAUGCGAAGUAGCCAUCUACAAUUUCCGUAAUUUAUUUUAUCUUCUGUGUGAAAUAUUUUUACACGACUUAUUAAGAUAUUUUACGGUGCGACGUUUCCCUUGAAAACGGUACAAAAUUGAGACUUCUCCGAGAACAUUGAAUUAUGAACAGAAGAGAAAAAUCAGGUAUCAUUGGUCGGGCAACUCAAUAAACCUGCAGAAAUCAACGACACGUGUUCGAAGGCUCUUUAAUAAACCGUUUUCAAUAGCGACAG